CGGGAAAAGCUCAAAUUUAAAAUCUGGCAGUCUUUGGCUGUCCGAGUUGUAAUUUAGAGAAGUGUUACCCGUGCUGGACUAUGUAAAAGUCUUCUGGAAUGAAGCAUCAUGGAGGGUGAGAGCCCCGUCU
rnacentral:rRNA from 1 species